rnacentral:tRNA from 1 species
GCCGGUGUGGCUCAUCGAUAGAGCGUCAGCCUACGGACUGAAGGGUCCCGGGUUCAAUUCCGGUCACGGGCA